rnacentral:tRNA from 1 species
UUAGCUCAGUUGGCUAGAGCACCUGACUGUAGAUCAGGGGGUCCCCGGUUCAAGUCCGGGAGCGCGGACCA